rnacentral:rRNA from 1 species
CCUACGGGGGGCAGCAGUGAGGAAUAUUGGUCAAUGGACGAGAGUCUGAACCAGCCAAGUAGCGUGAAGGAUGACUGCCCUAUGGGUUGUAAACUUCUUUUAUAUGGGAAUAAAAUGUUCCACGUGUGGGAUUUUGUAUGUACCAUAUGAAUAAGGAUCGGCUAACUCCGUGCCAGCAGCCGCGGUAAUACGGAGGAUCCGAGCGUUAUCCGAAUUUAUUGGGUUUAAAGGGAGCGUAGGUGGAUUGUUAAGUCAGUUGUGAAAGUUUGCGGCUUAACCGUAAAAUUGCAGUUGAAACUGGCAGUCGUGAGUACAGUAGAGGUGGGCGGAAUUCGUGGUGUAGCGGUGAAAUGCUUAGAGAUCACGAAGAACUCCGAUUGCGAAGGCAGCUCACUGGACUGCAACUGACACUGAGGCUCGAAAGUGUGGGUAUCAAACAGGAUUAGAUACCCGUGUAGUC